GGGGGGGGGGGGGGGGGGGGCGGGCGGAGGGGGGUGGGGGGGCCGCGGAGUGGGAGGGGGGGCGUAGGGGGGGGGAGUGGGGGGGCGGUGGGGGAGGAACCGGAGUGUACUUUUUCGGGGGGGUUAGAGUCGGGAAACGCACGGGGAUACCACAAGCAGCCUGCGUGGGCAAGCGGGUGAGUGUCGGUCCUUGCGCGAAGGCAUGCGACGAUGCCGGAUUAGUGAGUUGUCGGGGUAAAGGCCCACCAAUGCGACGAUCCGUAGCUGGUCUGAGAGGAUGAUCAGCCACACUGGAACUGAGACACGGUCCAGACUCCUACGGGAGGCAGCAGUGGGGAAUAUUGGACAAUGGGCGCAAGCCUGAUCCAGCCAUACCGCGUGGGUGAAGAAGGCCUUCGGGUUGUAAAGCCCUUUUGUUGGGAAAGAAAAGCAGCAGGUUAAUACCCCGCUGUUCUGACGGUACCCAAAGAAUAAGCACCGGCUAACUUCGUG
rnacentral:rRNA from 1 species